rnacentral:miRNA from 1 species
AGCUAAGUUUGUUAUUGGUAUGAGCUUUUGUGUGCAUGCACACUUCUUCAGAUACCUGAUAUCUGAUACCUGAUAUCUGAAGAAGUGCAUGCACACAAAAGCUCAUACCAGUAACAAACUUAGUUGG